UGCAAGUCGAGCGGUAGCACAGAGAGCUUGCUCUCGGGUGACGAGCGGCGGACGGGUGAGUAAUGUCUGGGAAACUGCCUGAUGGAGGGGGAUAACUACUGGAAACGGUAGCUAAUACCGCAUAACGUCGCAAGACCAAAGUGGGGGACCUUCGGGCCUCAUGCCAUCAGAUGUGCCCAGAUGGGAUUAGCUGGUAGGUGGGGUAACGGCUCACCUAGGCGACGAUCCCUAGCUGGUCUGAGAGGAUGACCAGCCACACUGGAACUGAGACACGGUCCAGACUCCUACGGGAGGCAGCAGUGGGGAAUAUUGCACAAUGGGCGCAAGCCUGAUGCAGCCAUGCCGCGUGUGUGAAGAAGGCCUUCGGGUUGUAAAGCACUUUCAGCGGGGAGGAAGGCGGUGAGGUUAAUAACCUCAUCGAUUGACGUUACCCGCAGAAGAAGCACCGGCUAACUCCGUGCCAGCAGCCGCGGUAAUACGGAGGGUGCAAGCGUUAAUCGGAAUUACUGGGCGUAAAGCGCACGCAGGCGGUCUGUCAAGUCGGAUGUGAAAUCCCCGGGCUCAACCUGGGAACUGCAUUCGAAACUGGCAGGCUAGAGUCUUGUAGAGGGGGGUAGAAUUCCAGGUGUAGCGGUGAAAUGCGUAGAGAUCUGGAGGAAUACCGGUGGCGAAGGCGGCCCCCUGGACAAAGACUGACGCUCAGGUGCGAAAGCGUGGGGAGCAAACAGGAUUAGAUACCCUGGUAGUCCACGCUGUAAACGAUGUCGAUUUGGAGGUUGUGCCCUUGAGGCGUGGCUUCCGGAGCUAACGCGUUAAAUCGACCGCCUGGGGAGUACGGCCGCAAGGUUAAAACUCAAAUGAAUUGACGGGGGCCCGCACAAGCGGUGGAGCAUGUGGUUUAAUUCGAUGCAACGCGAAGAACCUUACCUGGUCUUGACAUCCACAGAACUUUCCAGAGAUGGAUUGGUGCCUUCGGGAACUGUGAGACAGGUGCUGCAUGGCUGUCGUCAGCUCGUGUUGUGAAAUGUUGGGUUAAGUCCCGCAACGAGCGCAACCCUUAUCCUUUGUUGCCAGCGGUUAGGCCGGGAACUCAAAGGAGACUGCCAGUGAUAAACUGGAGGAAGGUGGGGAUGACGUCAAGUCAUCAUGGCCCUUACGACCAGGGCUACACACGUGCUACAAUGGCAUAUACAAAGAGAAGCGACCUCGCGAGAGCAAGCGGACCUCAUAAAGUAUGUCGUAGUCCGGAUUGGAGUCUGCAACUCGACUCCAUGAAGUCGGAAUCGCUAGUAAUCGUAGAUCAGAAUGCUACGGUGAAUACGUUCCCGGGCCUUGUACACACCGCCCGUCACACCAUGGGAGUGGGUUGCAAAAGAAGUAGGUAGCUUAAC
rnacentral:rRNA from 1 species